rnacentral:rRNA from 1 species
CUACGGGUGGCUCCAGGCGCGAAAACUUUACAAUGCAGGAAACUGUGAUAAGGGAACCCCGAGUGCCCGUACACGCGGGCUGUCUGGGUGUUUAAAAUGCACCCAAAGAAAGGGCCGGGCAAGACCGGUGCCAGCCGCCGCGGUAAUACCGGCGGCUCGAGUGGUGACCACUUUUAUUGGGCUUAAAGCGUUCGUAGCUGGACUGUUAAGUCCCUUGGGAAAUCCGCCGGCUCAACCGGCGGGCGUCUAAGGGAUACUGGCAGUCUAGGGACCGGGAGAGGUAAGAGGUACUCCGGGGGUAGGAGUGAAAUCCUGUAAUCCCCGGGGGACCACCUGUGGCGAAGGCGUCUUACCAGAACGGCUCCGACAGUGAGGAACGAAAGCUGGGGGAGCGAACCGGAUUAGAUACCCGAGUAGUC